AUUGAACGCUGGCGGCAGGCCUAACACAUGCAAGUCGAGCGGGAACUUCGGUUCUAGCGGCGGACGGGUGAGUAAUGCGUAGGAAGCUACCCGACAGAGGGGGAUACCAGUUGGAAACGACUGUUAAUACCGCAUAAUGUCUACGGACCAAAGUGUGGGACCUUCGGGCCACAUGCUGUCGGAUGCGCCUACGUGGGAUUAGCUAGUUGGUGAGGUAAUGGCUCACCAAGGCGACGAUCCCUAGCUGGUUUGAGAGGAUGAUCAGCCACACUGGAGCGGAGGCACGGGCGAGACUCCUACGGGAGGCAGCAGUGGGGAAUAUUGGAAGAUGGGCGAAAGCCUGAUCCAGCCAUGCCGCGUGUGUGAAGAAGGCCUUCGGGUUGUAAAGCACUUUCAGUAUGGAGGAAGAGUUGAGUGUUAAUAGUACUCAGCUUUGACGUUACCUACAGAAGAAGCACCGGCUAACUCUGUGCCAGCCGCCGCGGUAAAAC
rnacentral:rRNA from 1 species